AUUUAGAGCAUGGAACGAAAAAUGUUUUAUUCUUUGAUACUGUUGCUAGUGUCAUGUCUGUGCAACCAUUGUGUCAUCUGUACAGUUUGGUCAUACAGUACACCGACUGGUAUCAAAACAUAAUCCGAAGUUUUCUCCAUUGCUGAGCCAUCUGAGUAACGUAAUAUAUAAAGGUAAUCAAAUAGCACCACAACAUCACACAAAUGAAUCUUUUCUUAUCUGAAUGGAAAGAGUUGUGAAAUAUAUGUUAAAGACACAGCAAUCCAACGACACAAACAGCCAAAAGACAUCUUAU